GAUGAACGCUGGCGGCGUGCUUAACACAUGCAAGUCGAACGAAGCAUCCCUCCCGAAGAAGCGGAAGUGCUUGCACAGAAGUGGAUUCAUUUGGGAUGACUUAGUGGCGGACGGGUGAGUAACGCGUGGGCAACCUGCCCUAUAGAGGGGGACAACAGUUAGAAAUGACUGCUAAUACCGCAUAGUAAUGCAGAUCCGCAUGCUUCUGCAUUGAAAGCUUUUGCGCUAUAGGAUGGGCCCGCGUUUGAUUAGCUAGUUGGUGAGGUAACGGCCCACCAAGGCAACGAUCAAUAGCCGGCUUGAGAGAGUGAACGGCCACAUUGGGACUGAGACACGGCCCAAACUCC
rnacentral:rRNA from 1 species